rnacentral:rRNA from 1 species
GACGAACGCUGGCGGCGUGCUUAACACAUGCGAGUCGAACGGAAAGGCCCUGCUUUUGUGGGGUGCUCGAGUGGCGAACGGGUGAGUAACACGUGAGUAACCUGCCCUUGACUUUGGGAUAACUUCAGGAAACUGGGGCUAAUACCGGAUAGGAGCUCCUGCUGCAUGGUGGGGGUUGGAAAGUUUCGGCGGUUGGGGAUGGACUCGCGGCUUAUCAGCUUGUUGGUGGGGUAGUGGCUUACCAAGGCUUUGACGGGUAGCCGGCCUGAGAGGGUGACCGGCCACAUUGGGACUGAGAUACGGCCCAGACUCCUACGGGAGGCAGCAGUGGGGAAUAUUGCACUAUGGGCGGAAGCCUGAUGCAGCGACGCCGCGUGCGGGAUGACGGCCUUCGGGUUGUAAACCGCUUUCGCCUGUGACGAAGCGUGAGUGACGGUAAUGGGUAAAGAAGCACCGGCUAACUACGUG